CCUACGGGAGGCAGCAGUGGGGAAUAUUGGACAAUGGGGGGAACCCUGAUCCAGCCAUGCCGCGUGUGUGAAGAAGGCCCUCGGGUUGUAAAGCACUUUCAGUGAGGAAGAACGCCUUGUGGUUAAUACCCAUCAGCAAAGACAUCACUCACAGAAGAAGCACCGUCUAACUCCGUGCCAGCAGCCGCGGUAAUACGGAGGGUGCGAGCGUUAAUCGGAAUUACUGGGCGUAAAGCGCGCGUAGGUGGCUUGAUAAGCCGGUUGUGAAAGCCCCGGGCUCAACCUGGGAACGGCAUCCGGAACUGUCAAGCUAGAGUGCAGGAGAGGAAGGUAGAAUUCCCGGUGUAGCGGUGAAAUGCGUAGAGAUCGGGAGGAAUACCAGUGGAGAAGGCGGCCUUCUGGACUGAGACUGACACUGAGGUGCGAAAGCGUGGGUAGCAAACAGGAUUAGAUACCCUGGUAGUC
rnacentral:rRNA from 1 species